rnacentral:rRNA from 1 species
AGGCUUAACACAUGCAAGUCGAGCGCGUAGCAAUACGAGCGGCAGACGGGUGAGUAACGCGUGGGAAUCUACCCAACCUACGGAAUAACGCAUGGAAACGUGUGCUAAUACCGUAUACGCCCUUUGGGGGAAAGAUUUAUCGGGGAUGGAUGAGCCCGCGUUGGAUUAGCUAGUUGGUGGGGUAAAGGCCUACCAAGGCGACGAUCCAUAGCUGGUCUGAGAGGAUGAUCAGCCACAUUGGGACUGAGACACGGCCCAAACUCCUACGGGAGGCAGCAGUGGGGAAUAUUGGACAAUGGGCGCAAGCCUGAUCCAGCCAUGCCGCGUGAGUGAUGAAGGCCCUAGGGUUGUAAAGCUCUUUCACCGGUGAAGAUAAUGACGGUAACCGGAGAAGAAGCCCCGGCUAACUUCGUG